rnacentral:rRNA from 1 species
CGGAACGGGUGAGUAAUGCGUGACCAACCUGCCCCACUGCUCCAGAAUAGCUCUUGGAAACGGGUGGUAAUGCUGGAUGCUCCAACUUGACGCAUGUCUUGUUGGAAAGUGUUUAGUGGCAUGGGAUGGGGUCGCGUCCUAUCAGCUUGUAGGCGGGGUAAUGGCCCACCUAGGCUUCGACGGGUAGCCGGCCUGAGAGGGCGGACGGCCACAUUGGGACUGAGAUACGGCCCAGACUCCUACGGGAGGCAGCAGGU